rnacentral:rRNA from 1 species
GACAGAGGGUGCAAACGUUGCUCGGAAUUACUGGGCGUAAAGCGCGUGUAGGUGGAUUGGUGUGUCAGAUGUGAAAGCCCUGGGCUCAACCCAGGAACUGCACCUGAAACUACCAGUCUUGAGUGGUGGAGAGGGAAGUGGAAUUCCUGGUGUAAAGGUGAAAUUCGUAGAUAUCAGGAGGAACACCAGUGGCGAAGGCGGCUUCCUGGACACUAACUGACGCUGAGACGCGAAAGCGUGGGGAGCAAACAGG